rnacentral:misc_RNA from 1 species
UUUCCGUAGGUGAACCUGCGGAAGGAUCAUUAUUGAAUAAACCUGAUGUGGUUGAAGCUGGCUCUUUCGAGGGCAUGUGCACACCCGUCAUCUUUAUAUUUCCACCUGUGCACUUUCUGUAGACCUGGAUGUAGCUUUCCGAGGAAACUCGGUCGGGAGGAAUGCUGUGUGUCAAUGCCAGCUUUUCUUGAUGUCCAGGCCUAUGUUUUAACAUACCCCAAAGGAUGUAACAGAAUGUAUCAUUGGGCCUUGUGCCUAUAAACUAUAUACAACUUUCAGCAACGGAUCUCUUGGCUCUC